CUGGCGGCACGCCUAAUACAUGCAAGUCGAACGAAGUAGCAAUACUUAGUGGCAGACGGGUGAGUAACAUGUGGGUAUCUUCCCUUUGGUGAGGAAUAACACGAGGAAACUUGUGCUAAUACCUCAUAAGUCUUUACGGAGAAAGCUUUAUGCGCCAUUGGAUGAGCCUGCACUUGAUUAGUUUGUUGGUGGGGUAAUGGCCUACCAAGACUUUGAUCAAUAGCUGAUUUGAGAGGAUGAUCAGCCACAUUGGGACUGAGACACGGCCCAAACUCCUACGGGAGGCAGCAGUAGGGAAUCUUGCACAAUGGAGGAAACUCUGAUGCAGCGAUGCCGCGUGAGUGAAGAAGGCCUUUGGGUUGUAAAGCUCUUUCGUCGGGGAAGAAAAUGACUGUACCCGAAUAAGAAGGUCCGGCUAACUUCGUGCCAGCAGCCGCGGUAAUACGAAGGGACCUAGCGUAGUUCGGAAUUACUGGGCUUAAAGAGUUCGUAGGUGGUUAAAAAAGUUGGUGGUGAAAUCCCAGAGCUUAACUCUGGAACUGCCAUCAAAACUUUUUAGCUAGAGUAUGAUAGAGGAAAGCAGAAUUUCUAGUGUAGAGGUGAAAUUCGUAGAUAUUAGAAAGAAUACCGAUUGCGAAGGCAGCUUUCUGGAUCAUUACUGACACUGAGGAACGAAAGCAUGGGUAGCGAAGAGGAUUAGAUACCCUCGUAGUCCAUGCCGUAAACGAUGUGUGUUAGACGUUGGAAAUUUAUUUUCAGUGUCGCAGCGAAAGCAAUAAACACACCGCCUGGGGAGUACGACC
rnacentral:rRNA from 1 species